UACGUAGGUGGCAAGCGUUGUCCGGAUUUAUUGGGUUUAAAGGGUGCGUAGGCGGCCCUGUAAGUCAGUGGUGAAAUACCUCAGCUCAACUGAGGGGGUGCCAUUGAUACUGCAGGGCUUGAGUACAGAUGAGGUAGGCGGAAUUGACGGUGUAGCGGUGAAAUGCAUAGAUAUCGAGAGGAACACCUGCGGCGAAGGCGGGUUGCUGGGCUGACACUGACGCUGAUGCGCGAAAGCUAGGGGAGCGAACGGG
rnacentral:rRNA from 1 species